CUCACCCGCUGAGUUUAA
rnacentral:rRNA from 1 species